UUAAUUAAUGGGGGCUUGUUUAUUCAACUUAUGGCAGGCAGGAGAAACCGGUUUGAAAGCAAUCAUUGUUUUAGAGACACUGAUGACACUUAAAAAAAUUUUUAACAAACAUAAAGUGAAGGAAAUUGAGAAGAUAUUUCAAUAAAAGUAUCAUAGCGUAUUUAGCAUAUAUUUUAAAGAGCACAAUAUUGCUUUUCAGGUCGAUUUGCUGUCUACCUGUUGAGGUUUAUUUUGAAAGUUCCUCCCAGUCUUUGUUUUCCUGUUACAGUGAAAGGAAGGUGCUCUGCAUUCAGCCAAAGAGACGAGAAGUGUACGUGCAUUUUAAAGAGACAAAGAGAGUGAAAAUGUGGGUCUAACAUUCGGGGACAGAUCGUGUCUUACAUUCUGGGGGAAAGUGCAGAAAUAUUUGUCUCCAUGACAGCAAAGGUCAAGGCAGGACAGAGAAGAGUUUGAACUGGAUGAUUCCAACUAGGGAGAGGAACAGGUGAGAAGAGACCAGCUACAUGCUGAUGAGAGUUAUCAGAACCAUUGAAACGAGUAAUAAGAACCCUGUCGACAUGACAAACUGACCACAAAUCCCCCAAACCAUUUUCAUAUGACAGGCCUUAUGCAAG